UAAUUAGGUAGAAAAGUGUUGAGGUUUAUGUUGUUUAUACAUUAUUUUAAGUACUUAUUUCUUAUAUGGGGACUAAUGGGGCGCCUCCACAUCAUUAAUGAAAUAUUUGUGUUGGUUUAAUCUGGACCUUUUAAAAUGAAGGGAAAUAUGAAGCCUAAAGGUGGAUGUGGGGUCUAAUGAAGUGGAUGGAGGAUAGUUUUGUACCAUUUCCAAUAGGUGAGGGAUAGUUUUGGCCCUUUUUCGAUACAUCAACGGAGCCCAAAACUGGAAAAUAAUUUGUCAGCUGCUCGUGAUUAGAUCAUGGUUUAGGCAUCUGUAUUUGAAGAAAACACGGUUUCGCUUUGCUAAGUAGUUUCAUUUCCACGGCGAGUAAAUUUUUGCUGAGUUCUGUUGCUGCUUUGGAUAUUCCAACCUGCAGGUCAUUGCAACAAUCAGUGCUCUUACCACGGAUCAGAUAAUAAAAAACUCUUAGUUCCAUUGCUUCUUUGAAGCUACCCUUGCAAAAUUUUGAAGGUGUUUCUACUAUACGUUUUGAGAGGAUAGGUACGGUAAGGGGGUGCCAUAUCUACGAUGACUGUGCUCACCAUCUCAACUGCUCAUAAGAACUUAUUAUAAUAUUUCAUCCUCAUAUAUACGGGUAGAUACCCCAAGUAUUCUCCUUCCAAAUUACAAUUACAUGGAAUGCACAAUACUUGAAACUUUCAUAAUUUGCAGUCGUCUCGCAGCAUUGAAAGAUGAUUUUGCUGUUGCAUUCACUUAUGAGGAUAGAGUUGUGAUUACAGAGGUGUAGUCCCAUUUUGAGUUUCAAUGCAAAAGCUGUGUAAGAAUUAAUGUUCUAUUCCCCCUUUCUCUCUUGGCUAGGGAGAUCUAAUAUUUGUUUCUGCGGCAAGAUUUAUGCAGCUAGAGAAACAAAUCUGUGGAAGAUCAGUGGACGUGAUCUUGCAAUAUCUACAGUUGGCCCACUAUCUGAGUUUAUCCCUUCCCUGAUAUGUCAGAACUCAAUGGGUCCAAGAAAACUUCCUCACGGUUGUAGAUGUUGUAGUUACCUGGAAUUUUGCAAUGCUUUCCUUGUAGUUACAAAUGUUUUGAAUAUGAAAAUAAUCAAGUCUAAUUUCACAUGUACUGAGUUCCUAUUCCUAGGUCUAAUUGAAUAGAAGGAAAAUUCUUUUUUCCUGAAUUGUAGGAUACGGAGGGAAGCUUCUCUUUCUCGAGAUAGCCCUUGUUGUCAAUGUUCUAAGAAUAUCACAUCCAUUGCAGUCCUGCACUGGUCAGCUUGAAUGAUACAGGUGCUGGGAAAUGCUGGUUGUUUAGAUAUCCAAGAAUCCCGAUCAUGAAACUGUUAUCUUGACAUUAGGAGCAGGUGACCAUUCGGAUUUCCAUGACUCUGAAAACCCUUGUAUAGCAUUAGUCCAUGUCUAAGGAGGUCAUUCUUCAAAAGAUGGACAAAAAGGAAGACAGGAGACAUUAACUUGGUGGGACGUAAACUACUAAUUGAAUUGCAGCAGAGAUUGCCAUAGUAUACUGCCUGCUUCUCGAGACUGGCAGCAAAUUCAGAACUUUAUGGUCUUCACAUAUAGUCGGCUAAAUUUGAAGCUGAGGUCUUCGCACUCUGCACAUUCAUCUGCACUAAAUAGAUGACGCCGAGCCUGACCUCAUGAUAGAGGACUUCGUCAUGAAGAUAUGAUGGUCAUAAAGUUCAUCGUUCAACUGCUUGAGAUGUCUGCAUCCCAUUGAUUGCUUUCCCUACUGCAGCAAACUCACCAGUCAUUAGGAACAGACCCGGUCAAAGGCAUAGAAGGGAUGGAAGUAAGAAAGCACUGAAUUUUGUACACCAUAGUAAUUCUUGAGCCCAAUCAGCUUCACCUCCCAGCAUCACAGACCAUCUUGAUUCUUGAGCAUCUAUAUUGGCAACAGUACGGUUCCUCCCCCACCCCCCCCAAACCCACUCUCUCUUUAUGGACCGCCUCCUUAUCUUACCAAUCAUGUGGAUCUUGGGAAGGAGAUUGCAGAGCUUUCGAAAGGUUAGAGGACAACUAUGUACGUUCGAAAAAUAUCUCCUCAUUUCUAGAGUCUUCUUGGUGCAUUUAUGAAUUCAGAGGAUAGCUCGUCCUUCACAAAGAAUCAUAUUAUGUUGUAUAGCAUCUAUUUUUUAUUUACUGCUUGUAUAUGGGAGAUUUCCUAAUUAUUAAUAAAAUUAUUUGCCUUAGCAAAACAGAAAAAGGCCACCAUUCAUCCUCUUGAUUUCUUUUUGUACAGCAAGAGCUUUCCCUUAUUCAAUGCUUAUAGAAGUCCAGACAGGUCCCGUUUUG